GAGUAUUUGUGGGCUAGGAUGAAAGGCAUUACAUGGUGAUUUAGUGUAGGAAGUGGUGGUAAGGUAGGUGUGUGAUGUUGAUGCAAUAUGUUUGUCUAACCUUUUGGAGUUAUGCAGGGCUUGGAACACUAUAUGUGAGGUUCUGUUGAGUCGUUGGUGGAUUAAACUAGAGGGGAUGCGUAAGUCGGGGAAGCCCAGGUGUUGAGAGGGGACUUUGCCCUUGCAUUGAGUGUUACCCCUAACCAAGGGGGCAGCAAUGGGGGGGAGGAUAUGCCUUGCCAACAUGAGCAAUUGCACAUCCCAUCGCGCUAUCUUGUGUACUUAGUUGUUCCCCACAUAUGGUGGGUGUCAGUCUAAGGCCCUGUCAGGGUAGUAGUGCUGUAGUUAGAAUAUUGAAAGCAAAAAAGAAG